UACGUAGGGUGCAAGCGUUGUCCGGAAUUAUUGGGCGUAAAGAGCUCGUAGGCGGUCUGUCGCGUCUGCUGUGAAAACUCAGGGCUUAACCCUGAGCUUGCAGUGGGUACGGGCAGACUAGAGUGCGGUAGGGGGAGACUGGAAUUCCUGGUGUAGCGGUGAAAUGCGCAGAUAUCGGGAGGAACACCUAUGGCGAAGGCAGCUCGCUGGGACGUUACUGACGCUGGAGACG
rnacentral:rRNA from 1 species